rnacentral:rRNA from 1 species
AUUGAACGCUGGCGGCAGGCCUAACACAUGCAAGUCGAACGAGUGGCGGACGGGUGAGUAAUGUCUGGGAAACUGCCUGAUGGAGGGGGAUAACUACUGGAAACGGUAGCUAAUACCGCAUACCAUCGGAUGUGCCCAGAUGGGAUUAGCUAGUAGGUGGGGUAACGGCUCACCUAGGCGACGAUCCCUAGCUGGUCUGAGAGGAUGACCGCCAAACUGGGAACUGGGACACGGUCCAAACUCCUACGGGGGGCAGCAGGGGGAAAUAUGGAACAAGGGGCGAAAGCCUAAUGCAGCCAGGCGGGGUGUAUGAAGAAGGCCUUGGGGUGGUAAAGACCUUUCAGCGGGGAGGCGUUACCCGCAGAAGAAGCACCGGCUAACUCCGUGCCAGCAGCCGCGGUAAUA